rnacentral:misc_RNA from 1 species
CUCCUUCACCUCCUGCUGCCAUGACGCAUAUCUAUCCUCCGCCUCCUCCCUCUACGUUUCAUGUCCCCAUUCAUAGCCCUGUGCCUGUGCCUCACGUGAUCCCUGUCCAGAAUCACCAUCCGCACCACCACCACCAGCAUCAGCAUCAUAAUCAGCAGUACGUUCCAGUUCGGAGCCAUAACAAUCAUCAUCACGGUCAGAAUAG